UACGUAGGGUGCGAGCGUUAAUCGGAAUUACUGGGCGUAAAGUGUGCGCAGGCGGCCGCGCAAGUCGAGUGUGAAAGCCCCGAGCUUAACUUGGGAAUUGCGCUCGAAACUACGUGGCCGGAGUGUGGCAGAGGAAGGUGGAAUUCCACGUGUAGCGGUGAAAUGCGUAGAGAUGUGGAGGAACACCGAUGGCGAAGGCAGCCUUCUGGGCCAACACUGACGCUCAUGCACGAAAGCGUGGGGAGCAAACAGG
rnacentral:rRNA from 1 species